rnacentral:rRNA from 1 species
GCGGCGUGCUUCAUACAUGCAAGUCGAACGAGAAGCAGGAGCUUGCUCCUGUGGAAAGUGGCGGACGGGUGAGUAACACGUAGGAAAUCUGCCUUUGGGUGGGGGACAACAGUUGGAAACGACUGCUAAUACCCCAUAUGAGCUUGGUUGCAAUACCAAUCUUGAAAACUCCGGUGCCUAAAGAUGAGCCUGCGUCUGAUUAGCUUGUUGGCGGGGUAAUGGCCCACCAAGGCGACGAUCAGUAGCUGGUUUGAGAGGAUGAUCAGCCACAAUGGGACUGAGACACGGCCCAUACUCCUACGGGAGGCAGCAGUAGGGAAUUUUGCGCAAUGGGGGAAACCCUGACGCAGCAACGCCGCGUGAAUGACGAAGCCCAUCGGGGUGUAAAGUUCUGUCAGUAGGGAAGAAUUUUGACUGUACCUACAAAGGAAGCACCGGCUAACUCCGUGCCAGCAGCCGCCGUAA